rnacentral:lncRNA from 1 species
UUAGCUGCAACUUUUGCCUAUUGUCAGGAGUGUUAACUUACUCCAAUGUCAUCCAACAUAAGAACCAAUUCCAAACAAACUAAACAAUAACUAAAUUCAAAACUAAUUAAAUUGAGUCAUCAAAAGAUCAUUUCCUCAAACUAAAAUGCGGUGUUAACAAAAAUUGACACUAUUACAAGUGUCAAAAUAAACAGAUAAGAAACUAGUAGUUUGGACAAAAGAUAUAGCCGUUAGUUUAAGCUUAAU